CGAGAAAGUGCCGCUAUGCCCUGAACGUGGACGCCUGGAAGAAGCGGAGGAAGUAAAGUGCAUCUCCUCACAUCAAGGAUACCUUCAUUUAAAGGAAAGCUGCUGGUUGCCGCUGGACGUAAGAUACAAUUUAUGAAAAGUCUCCUUGAUGGUAGACAUGACAAGCGGGCAUUCUGGUCACGUUUCCCCUUCGCCUCCUGCAUGGCAUCAAUCCAUCAUCUCAUUGGUUGGCAUGCCUGGCUCCUGCCAUCAUCACCAUGGCAAUGAUUCCUGCUAAUCCGCUCGCCUGCGCCCCAUUGGUGGAUUGAGGCAGCAUUGGGGGCCAGAGAGGAGGUGUCUGAAUUCAAUCAAACAUCAGUAAGGAUUUGCUUUCCUGCCCAGUGUGCCCAGUCAGGGUUUAGUUUGGUUAAAAAAAAAAAAAAAAAAGUUGAGUUAAACUCAUUAUUUAGUCCAUUUAAAUGUUUCUUAUGUUCAGGAAAUUGCAUUUCAUUAAUUAA